AUGGAGCUAUAUACAUCUUUACAUGAUAAGCUGACACCUAAUAAGGAUCAGGAGAACAACAGAGAUGCUAAGAGGCAACCUUUUGGGGUUAAGGAUAUCAACAACAACAGGGCUUAUGAGGCCGAAGAGAGCUCGAGUGGCGUCUUUUGGCAAAUAAACAAAAGGCAUGUGUAUUGUUCAAGAAAUAGAGAAAUGUUAUUGUUCUUCUACUAA
rnacentral:rRNA from 1 species